AUCAUUCUUGAAGUCUGGUUGUUGCUGGCCUUUCUUGGGGCAUGUGCACGCCUUAUUCAAACCCACCUGUGCACCUUUUGUAGACUUGUGUUUGUCUACCGAUAAUUAUUUACUCCCGUAUUCAGAAUGUAUUGAUUGGCCUCAGUGCCUUUAAUCAAAUAAUACAACUUUCAGCAACGGAUCUCUUGGCUCUCGCAUCGAUGAAGGACGCAGCGAAACGCGAUAAGUAAUGUGAAUUGCAGACACGUGAAUCAUCGAAUCUUUGAACGCACCUUGCGCUCCUUGGUGAUCUGAGGAGCAUGCCUGUUUGAGUGUCAUUAAAUUCUCAACCUAACCAGCUUUUGUGAGCUGGGAUAUAGGCUUGGAUUGUGGGGGCUUUGCUGGCUUCAACCAAAGUCAGCUCCCCUUAAACGCAUUAGUGGAACGAUUUUGUUGACCUUGUUCCUGGUGUGAUAAAACCUUUAUCACCACCGUGUGCAGUCAGCUUACUCUGCUUCUAACAACGUUUAUUAAACUCUUGACCAUUUGACCUCAAAUCAGGUAGGACUAGCCGCUGAAUUU
rnacentral:misc_RNA from 1 species